rnacentral:rRNA from 1 species
AGCAGUAGCCGCGGUAAUACGUAGGGUGCGAGCGUUAAUCGGAAUUACUGGGCGUAAAGCGUGCGCAGGCGGUUAUAUAAGUCAGAUGUGAAAUCCCCGGGCUCAACCCGGGAACUGCAUUUGAGACUGUAUGGCUAGAGUGUGUCAGAGGGGGGUAGAAUUCCACGUGUAGCAGUGAAAUGCGUAGAUAUGUGGAGGAAUACCGAUGGCGAAGGCAGCCCCCUGGGAUAACACUGACGCUCAUGCACGAAAGCGUGGGGAGCAAACAGGAUUAGAUACCCGUGUAGUCCCUGUCUCUUAUAC